rnacentral:rRNA from 1 species
UACGUAGGGCGCAAGCGUUAUCCGGAAUUAUUGGGCGUAAAGAGCUCGUAGGCGGUUUGUCGCGUCUGCCGUGAAAGCCCGGAGCUCAACUCCGGAACUGCCUUUUAGACUGCAUCGCUUGAAUCCAGGAGAGGUGAGUGGAAUUCCGAGUGUAGAGGUGAAAUUCGUAGAUAUUCGGAAGAACACCCGUGGCGAAGGCGGCUCUCUGGGACGGUACUGACGCUGAGACGCGAAAGCGUGGGGAGCAAACAGG